UACAGAGGGUGCGAGCGUUAAUCGGAAUUACUGGGCGUAAAGCGUGCGUAGGCGGUUAUGUAAGUCGGGUGUGAAAGCCCCGGGCUCAACCUGGGAAUUGCAUUCGAGACUGCAUAGCUAGGGUGCGGAAGAGGGAAGCGGAAUUUCCGGUGUAGCGGUGAAAUGCGUAGAUAUCGGAAGGAACAUCAGUGGCGAAAGCGGCUUCCUGGUCCAGCACCGACGUUCAGGCACGAAAGCGUGGGGAGCAAACAGG
rnacentral:rRNA from 1 species